GAAUCUUCCUCCACCGUCAUCCGGGGAGCCGCUGGCUCCAGGACUCACAGAAGGGACGGUGCCAUCUUGCACGAACAGCCUUUGUUUUGGAUACUGCGGACACUGUCUGGGAACAAAUGAACUGAUCUUAAACCUACUGAACCCUGGAGAGGACUCUGUGGACAGUCAGGGACUGCCUUGCUAUUUGGAACUUGUCUGGAUGCUCCAUAGAUGUGGAAGAUGAACAGAGGGGAUCUCUUGAGCAUAAAAAAUAUCUUCAAACAAAGGAGAUAUUAGAAGACUCAUGUCUUCUAGACUUGCCUACAGUCUGUGUGACUCACUCUCCAAAAUGGGAAGAGUUUCAGAGUGAUUUCAAAGAGGCUUUGGAAAAACUUGUCCCAUCUCAGCAAGAAGCUAGUUGCUUAAUAUAUAUGUCUGGUGAAAAAAACAACCUACUGCUCAGACCUUCUUGGACAUCCUUGCUCCUGAAUGUAAUGGAAACUGACAACCAGAGGCUUCCAUUCAUGUCUCUUUGGCUCCAUGGAAAUC